rnacentral:rRNA from 1 species
GACGAACGCUGGCGGCGUGCUUAACACAUGCAAGUCGAACGGUAAGGCCCUUCGGGGUACACGAGUGGCGAACGGGUGAGUAACACGUGGGUGAUCUGCCCUGCACUUCGGGAUAAGGCUGGGAAACUGGGUCCAAUACUGGAUAGGACCACUGCAUGCAUGGGUGGUGGUGGAAAGCUUUUGCGGUGUGAGAUGGGCCCACGGUCUAGCAGCUUGUUGGUGGGGGGAUGGCCUACCACGGCGACGACGGGUAGCCGGCCGGAGAGGGUGGCCGGCCACACUGGGACUGAGAUACGGCCCAUACUCCUACGGGAGGCAGCAGUGGGGAAUAUUGCACAAUGGGCGCAAGCCUGAUGCAGCGACGCCGCGUGAGGGAUGACGGCCUUCGGGUUGUAAACCUCUUUCAGCACCGACGAAACGCAAGUGACGGUAGGUGCAGAAGGAGGACCGGCCAACUACGUGCCAGCAGCCGCCGUAA